rnacentral:rRNA from 1 species
GUGAGUAACACGUGGGAAUGUGCCCUUCUGUUGAGGAUAGCCCCGGGAAACUGGGAGUAAUACUCGAUACGCCCUUAGGGGGAAGGAAGGAUCAGCCCGCGUCUGAUUAGGUAGUUGGUGGGGUAAUGGCCUACCAAGCCUACGAUCAGUAGCUGGUUUUAGAGGAUGAUCAGCCACACUGGGACUGAGACACGGCCCAGACUCCUACGGGAGGCAGCAGUGAGGAAUCUUAGACAAUGGGCGCAAGCCUGAUCUAGCCAUGCCGCGUGAGUGAUGAAGGCCUUAGGGUCGUAAAGCUCUUUCGCCAGGGAUGAUAAUGACAGUACCUGGUAAAGAAACCCCGGCUAACUCCGUGCCAGCAGCCGCGGUAAUACGGAGGGGGUUAGCGUUGUUCGGAAUUACUGGGCGUAAAGCGCGCGUAGGCGGACUGGAAAGUUGGGGGUGAAAUCCCAGGGCUCAACCCUGGAACUGCCUCCAAAACUAUCAGUCUAGAGUUCGAGAGAGGUGAGUGGAAUUCCGAGUGUAGAGGUGAAAUUCGUAGAUAUUCGGAGGAACACCAGUGGCGAAGGCGGCUCACUGGCUCGAUACUGACGCUGAGGUGCGAAAGUGUGGGGAGCAAACAGGAUUAGAUACCCUGGUAGUCCACACC